UUUUUGCUGUGAAAACCAAGCAGCCCCCGGGGAGACGGGAUAGGGGCAGAAAUCAUAGAAUGCAUCGGAUUGGAAGAGGCCCUCGAAGGUCAUCUUGUCCGAGUCCUCCACAAUGAGGUAAUAGAGGAGUGCCCUGCUGAAGCGCAGCUUGGAAACAAGAUGAGAACCGCGGGACUUGGAAACUGCAUUUGCUUCAUGCAGUUUUCAGUGUUGGAGGCGGGUUUGGGUAUGUGUUUCGUUGGUGCUGCUUCUUGGGGAGGGGAUUGUUGUCUUGUUUGGGAGUGUUCUUUUAUUUGUGGUUGCGUGGGGUUGUUUUUUUGUGUUUUGUUUGGGUUUGUGUUCAGUUUGGUUGGUUUGUUUGAGAGGGGUCGUUUGCUUUUUGUUUUUCAGAAACAGGCAGAGGAGUUUUAAACGACUUUUUAUCUAUCUCUUGUUGAAAGAAACAUUAUUAGGCAUUGAUCAACUGCUAUUCAGAGGUGAACUUUAUUAAAAGCCAUACUGAACUUCCAGACUUAGAACUAGGUUUAAAAGAUUUGAAGAUUACUUGUGGUUAAUUAAUAACCUCCAUUUGUUUAAUGUAGAGUAGAAAGAAGUGUAACCUCUUCUGUUUGUGCAUAUCUAGUACGGGGUUUCGGGGAGAGAUUGAGUCUGAAACAGAAGCUCCUGAUUGGGCCAUUUCAUAAUCCAGUGUCUGGAAACAGAGGGUUCCCAGGCUUUACUUUUGCUUUAGGAAACACAUUGUGAGAAAGAGGCAUGGACCUUUUAUUUCAGGACCAAUUUUCACACCCAGGUGCCUGAGAAGGGAGCUUGAAUGGUUUUCUUUCUAGGAAACCAGUGGGGGAAGGCUUUUCCCCCCCUACUGAUGUUUGAAAAGGUACUCAAAAGCACAUGCAUUCCAACAUGUUAUUUACAAGUGAGAUUCAGGCAGCUUGAAAUUUAAAGUAGAAAUUUCUGUUGUCUUCUUCAAUGGAAAUGAGUUACUCAGUGAUCACAAAAUUCACCAGUUUGUUUUCUGUCUUUCUUGAUGCUUGGGUUGAUGUCCAUAAAGAACUCAGAUUGUUCUCAUAGUAGUUCAUAGCUAAUAGUGUGGUUUCUGUGUCAUCAGCAGUAUUUUCAUUAGGUGUUUGCUUGCUUGUUUGUUUUAGCAUUUUUAAACUAAUGUUGGCAAAGUGAUGAGUUCUGGAUAACAAUUCCUCCCCUUCUUCAGAUAAAAUACAAUUGGAAUAUUUGUGUGUAGUUAGAAGAUACAGUUCCUCUUCCUGAAUGGUUUCCCACAUUUAAUGUAGAAAGGCUAUGUACUCUUCUAUCUCAUGUCACUCUGCUUGCUAGGAAUGAAUGUAUCUUGUCUGCACACCAUAGUUCAAUAAAGUACUAUAUAUAUUAAGAGUGAGAAA